GCAGGGAGCUCAAGCGAGGAGGAAAGGAGAGCGAAUAGAGAGAGGUACAAAGUGGCUAGAAAGGAGGCGAAGCUGGCGGUAACGGAGGCUAAGAAUGCAGCGUUUAGCCGCCUAUACGAGGAAUUAGGGGAGAAAUGAAGGGACAUGAAGUUUUUUCGGCUGGCUAAGGCGAGGGAGAUGAAGGCCCGAGAUAUGGACCAAGUGAGGUGCAUCAAAGAUGAGGAUGGUAGAGUUUUGAUGGGAGAUGCCCAGAUUAAGCAAAGAUGGCAGACGUACUUCUAUGGUUUUUUAAAUGAAGAGGGGGACCGGGAUAUAGCGCUCUGGGACUUGGGGAGAUCCCCAGAUUAGGCAGAGAUGGCAGACGUACUUCUAUGGUCUUUUAAAUGAAGAGGGGGACCGGGAUAUAGCGCUCUGGGACUUGGGGC
rnacentral:lncRNA from 1 species